GCCCCCGUAGCUCAGAGGAUAGAGCAGAGGUUUCCUAAACCUUUGGUCGUGGGUUCGACUCCCGCCGGGGGCG
rnacentral:tRNA from 1 species